rnacentral:rRNA from 1 species
UACCAGCACCCCGAGUGGUCGGGACGUUUUAUUGGGCCUAAAGCAUCCGUAGCCGGUUCUACAAGUCUUCCGUUAAAUCCACCUGCUUAACAGAUGGGCUGCGGAGGAUACUACAAGGCUAGGAGGCGGAAGAGGCAAGCGGUACUCAGUGGGUAGGGGUAAAAUCCUCUGAUCCAUUGAAGACCACCAGUGGCGAAGGCGGCUUGCCAAUACGCGCUCGACGUGAGGGAUGAAA